AAUGAAAUCCUCCAGGUUCCUUUCUUUUUGCUCUUUCUCUGUGUUUUAAUAAUUUUGUGAUCUUAAAGUUUAGAUUUUUACUAAAUUUGGAAGUUGGGUUUUAAGGAUGUAAUGAUGUAUUAUGAUGCUUAAUGAAAAUGGAGCCUUGUUUGGUUUCUGAGAAAGGAUGGAAAAAGGAAAAGUUUGGUUAGAAAACGGAUGGGAAAAUACAGUGAAUUUAGUCUUUACAGUUCAGAUUUUUACUACAUACAGAAGUUAGGUUAUAAGUAUGUAAUGAUUUAUUAUUAUGCUUUAUCUGAACUGAAUGAAAAUGACAGUUUGUUUGGUAUUUGAGAAAGGAAUGGAAAAUGAGAAAUUCGAGUUAAAAAAUGGAUGGGAAAAUAUAGAAAAUACAGGUAGUCCUUAAAGUUUAGAUUUUUAUUGAGUUUUGAAGUUGGGUUCUAUGGUUGUAAUGAUUAUUUUGAUUCUUUAUUUGAACCGAAUGGAAAUGGCACUCUAUGUGGUCACUGAUAAAGGGAUAGAAAAUGAUGGGAACAUACAAAAUAUUGCAAAACAUGGGAUGUUUUCUAGUUUUUCUAUUCGAUUAUUCUUUGAUUUUUAAUGGUUAUGCAUUUGUGAAUAGGUUUUUCGUAUGUGGAAGAACAUAGAGAAAUCAAGAAUCAUUGAAUUGAACUAUGAAAAGAUCAUAGGAUUGUUAUGUGAAGAAAGAAUGGUGGAAGAAGUGGUCGAGGCACUACAAGAAAUGGAGGGUUACGGUCUUCUGGAAAAUGAUUUACUGUAGUGCCUCAACCGCUUCUUCGACCUUCUUUGGAGAUUUACAACUUAAUAAUUCAUGCUUAUGCCAAGAAUGGAAAGUUCAAUGAUGCUUCGUUCUUUCUCAAUGAGACGAAGCUCAACUUUAGUUUGAUUGAAUUUUGCUUUUAUAGCUAAAGCAAUUUGAGAUAAUAAUCGAACUGGAUGAGCCUCAAUUAAAGUAAAAUAUAAACUCAGUUUUUAUACUCAAGUUUAGAUUCAAAUUGAAACAAUAGUAAUUAAAAAUAAAAAAAGAUCGAUUAAGCUCUUAAACUACUUGACUCAAAUACUCAAAUUCAGCUCUUUCACUAUGUCGAGCUUGAUUUGACGAUGGUCAAGAUGAAUUCAAGUUUUUUCAAGCUGAAGCCAAAUAGCUUUUGUAAUACAAGUGUUUCUUUUGCUCUCUCAUAUCUACUAAGGUUGGAGGUUAGUUUUUAGUGCUCUUAAAACCCGAAACUUAAGUGGUUUUGCUUGUUGUGUUUGUCACUUCUUGCUUCAAUGUCUUUAUCCCUUCAUGUAAUAACAUACAAAUGACAAAAUCAUAUCUGAUAUUGUAAAUGGAUUCAUGAUCACAACAAGACAGCUAAUACCUUUGUAUUUUCCAAAAGAGAAUUUAAUCGUUGAUUUUAGUAUAAAUUUAUGUUUGUUUGUUGGUUUGUAGGUGUAUUUUGAUUCAAUUGAAUGAUAAUGUUUAAUUUUGUGUCCUAGGUAAUCACUCCCCUUUUUCAUAUGUAUUAUAGAUAAUUUGUUUGUUGGUCUGUACAUGUAUUUGUGUUGCUAUUACGAGCAUUUUUUGUUUAUGCAUUUUGAAUUGGCUCAAGUUUUCUUAUACUUCUUUCUCAUGCUUAUUGAUUUGUAAUUUCAAUGAUUGUUUUUUGACCUAGUUUGAUUGAUUCUGGGGUGAAUCCCAACCAGCUUCAGUCUCAGGUUGCUUCUUGUACUAUCGCAUAUUGAUAGGGAAUUAUUGUCUAUAAAAUUAUCAAGCUUGCAAGAUUUUAAAAUUCGUUUUCUAACUAGAAAGUAGCCCUGAUAUUCUUGUGAAUUUGAACUGCUAGUCAUUGUCUGUCGGCUAAAACUCACUUCAUUUUUGGGCUACACACAGUGACCUUUUAAAGUUCUUUUUCUGUAUUAAAUCUAUGUAUAUCCAUUUGCAAGGUUUUAUGAAUUCUCUCUACUCCCAACCCUUUGCUCAGUUCAACAAACAGCCACUAAACUUUCAGGCUCAUCAGCAGGGACAUGACUUCUAAAACCAGAAACUUCAAUUUAAUGAUUAAGAAUAAGGAUGCAUAGGCUUUAACAGGUUAUAGUGUUUACAAUUAGCAACUUGGUUUACGCUGCCCUUGUGUGCCCAAAUAUAAUCCCAAUCUGAAGUGUAAAAUAUUUGUCGGUUUGAGGUCAGUUUUUGAGUUCUGUCCAUAUCCCCAUAAAAUGAUUCCUGAUGGUGGGAAUGGUUGUAAUUGAAGGGUAAUAUGUGGAAAUGGGGGCUAUAUGUGAACACAUUGGCUGAGAAAGAAAAAGGAUAACCCCAUAUACUUGCUUGAAGUUUUGCAUUGUUUUGGAGAAUGAUUAUUGAUUUAAGAGAGAGAACCAUUACAUGAUAAGGUUUUUCUCGAAAGGGUUUGAUGAUAAAAGACUCCAGGCCAUAAUGGCCAUUGAUUUUUCAGGUUAAACCCGUCUGUAAUAGACGCAGAAGCAUUUUAGAGGUGAAAAUAUUUUUAUAUAGUAUGCCAGGAAAAUCACCUGUCCCUUUCAGGUCAUCCUUGACAUGUAAUUGUACUCUUUAGUAUAGGUCGGAAAAAUGUUUGUAGUGGUUCAUAGUGCUUGUAGACAUUAAUGGUGGCAUUAAAAAAAAGGUUCGUCAUGGCUUUGAUGUGAGAAAUUGGGUUUGUUUAACAAUGGAGUUGCUCCCCAUAAUAUGUAGAAUGACAUCAAUGUUUUUAAUGCCAUUUGUUUGAACUGAUGACUGCUUCUGGUAUUGCAUUUCUUUUCCAUCUAGUUUUUGGGUUUUCCCUCAAGGACAGGAUGAACUCGAAAUGAGGCAGACAUUUCUUUAAUUCCAAGUUGAAGUCACUUGAGAUGAUGGAUAGUAUGGAUUCAGUUCAGAUAUUUAAUUUUUUAUUUUAUUUAAUCUGGAUAUGUUUGUAGUCGUAUAUGCUGAUAUUAUUAGUAUUUGAAUAUUUGAUAUCCAGGUCCACGGUAGAAUUUAUUUUUUGUGAAUAAUAG
rnacentral:lncRNA from 1 species